rnacentral:lncRNA from 1 species
UCUGGAGGCUUACAUUUUGCUUAGAAAUAAGGAACAGGGAUUAAUUAUGAAUGUUGCUGAAAUCUUGCUGCCUCAACCUACAACGUAGUUUAAGUGAAGAAGACAUUGGCAUCAAGAACAGUGGGCCAAGAAAUCCUUGCUGUGUUCCUGGUCUAAAGUCUCUCAGUGCAUCUCACAGCCAUCUCUCUGGCAGCCCCAAUUGACCUGGCUGAUGUUUGACAAGCUGCUGUGAACCUAGAAAAUGAGGUCCUGACUGCAGCCCCCUUAGUAAACGACAAUUGAUCCCAGAGAUGAAGUGAAC